rnacentral:misc_RNA from 1 species
GAUGAAGAACGUAGCGAAAUGCGAUACUUGGUGUGAAUUGCAGAAUCCCGUGAACCAUCGAGUCUUUGAACGCAAGUUGCGCCCGAAGCCAUUAGGCCGAGGGCACGCCUGCCUGGGCGUCACACGUCGUUGCCCCCCCAUCUACUCCUUCGGGAUUGCGGGGGGCGGAUGAUGGCCUCCCGUGCGCCUCGUCGCGCGGUUGGCAUAAAUGCCAAGUCCUCGGCGACGCACGCCACGACAAUCGGUGGUUGCGAAACCUCGGUUGCCCGUCGUGUGCGGUCGUCGCGCAUCGAGGGCUCGAAAAAAUUGCCGGGCUCCGGCUCGGCUUUCAACGCGACCCCAGGUCAGGCGGGGUUACCCGCUGAAUUUAAGCAUAUCUAAGCGGAGGA